rnacentral:misc_RNA from 1 species
AAAAGCUCAAGGUUCACCAUAGAAUAUUGCCCUAAAAUAUCUUGCCAUUUGGGAGUGGCGUUGGACCGAGCAUAAGCAUCGAAUUCUUCAAGGAUGCGGGAGAUGGCUUUGAAGAGGCUGAUAGCUCGAGUUUUUACGGACUCCAAAUUGAGCUGCUGCUGCACUGCCUGGUUCAGCCUCUCCACUACCACCAUCUGCGGUGGUGGCUGUUGAUUUUGGAGCUGAGGUUGGUCCAUUCCCUCCAUUCUGCAAUUCUUCGCUUUCUUUGCUUCGAUGCGCUUUUGUAUCGCACACUAAACUAAGAGGAAAGUGC